AUAGUUGAACACUGUUUGUUGUGGUGGGCAGGAAUAAAAACCCACCCGGUGUGCAGUACACUGGGGCAGAAACACUGGGGCAGAAACACUGGGGCAGAAACACUGGGGCAGUACACUGGGGCAGUACACUGGGGCAGAAACACUGGGGCAGAAACACUGGGGCAGAAACACUGGGGCAGUACACUGGGGCAGAAACACUGGGGCAGUACACUGGGGCAGAAACACUGGGGCAGUACACUGGGGCAGAAACACUGGGGCAGUACACUGGGGCAGAAACACUGGGGCAGUAACACUGGGGCAGAAACACUGGGGCAGAAACACUGGGGCAGAAACACUGGGGCAGUACACUGGGGCAGAAACACUGGGGCAGUACACUGGGGCAGAAACACUGGGGCAGUACACUGGGGCAGAACACUGGGGCAGUACACUGGGGCAGUACACUGGGGCAGAAACACUGGGGCAGUACACUGGGGCAGAAACACUGGGACAGUACACUGGGGCAGAAACACUGGGCAGUACACUGGGGCAGAAACACUGGGGCAGUACACUGGGGCAGAAACACUGGGGCAGAAACACUGGGGCAGUACACUGGGGCAGAAACACUGGGGCAGUACACUGGGGCAGUACACUGGGGCAGAAACACGGGCGCAGAAACACUGGGGCAGUACACUGGGGCAGAAACACUGGGGAAGUAACACUGGGGCAGUACACUGGGGCAGUACACUGGGGCAGAAACACUGGGGCAGUACACUGGGGCAGAAACACUGGGGCAGAAACACUGGGGCAGUACACUGGGGCAGAAAAACUGGGGCAGUACACUGGGGCAGAAACACUGGGGCAGUACACUGGGGCAGAAACACUGGGGCAGUACACUGGGGCAGAAACACUGGGGCAGAAAAACUGGGGCAGUACACUGGGGCAGAAACACUGGGGCAGAAACACUGGGGAAGUACACUGGGGCAGUACACUGGGGCAGAAACACUGGGGCAGUACACUGGGGCAGAAACACUGGGGCAGUACACUGGGGCAGAAACACUGGGGCAGAAACACUGGGGCAGAAACACUGGGGCAGUACACUGGGGCAGAAACACUGGGGCAGAAACACUGGGGCAGAAACACUGGGGCAGUACACUGGGGCAGAAACACUGGGGAAGUACACUGGGGCAGUACACUGGGGCAGUACACAGGGGCAGAAACACUGGGGCAGAAACACUGGGGCAGUACACGGGGGCAGAAACACUGGGGCAGUACACUGGGGCAGUACACUGGGGCAGUCUGUAUUUUAGGAGUUUCGUAUGUUACAAGGAGCUGACAAUUCUACAUGAUAGAGAAUAA
rnacentral:lncRNA from 1 species